UGAAAAAAUGGAUUUAAUUAAUACAUUUGACUAAAACAGGCAAUGAGAUAUGUCAUUGCCCAUUCAAAAAACAGGCAUCAAAAGCAUAGAUUGCAAAAGUAUAACUGAGUAGCUUUAAAUGUAACUUCAAUUGUAAUAUGUAUGUAAUCCCCCAAAAUAUGCUUGAACACAGCUACUAACAAUGUGGAACGACUGCCCUCCAGUGGAGAGAAUGAUGGUGGUAAUGGUAGUGAGGGGUGGGUAGGUGGUACUCAAUCUCCGUUGUUUUAAAUAUCAGUUUUUGCAGUUUAUUGCUUUCCAUUUUCCCUUCUACAGACUAUCAGACAAUAUCCGUGGGAUAGUUUUUUGUUUUGUUUUGUUUUUUUUUACAGCAAAGCCAAUUCUUUCCUUCGUGCACACAUUUUUUACGGAAAAGGCGUUACCAGAUGAAAGUGAAAGUAAGAUUAUGCUGUAUAGGAACAACAGGCGCGGUCGCCUUUCAUUGUAUAAGCUACUUGUGUCAAAAUGUAGAGGACUGUUCUGCAGUUUUAUCCGAUGCAAAGUGAUUGUUCUCGUUAUUUUACCCUGACUUCGGUUGAAGAGCAUGGACAUCUGGACAUGAUCCUUGAAAAACUGAGAACUCCACAAUGGAUGCUGAAGAAUGCAGUCCUUCACCAGAGUCUGAAAAAGUUGCCGCCUUGCUGAAAGACAUCAGUGAACUUAGACGAAGGGGCAAGAAAAGGGAAGCCACUGAAGUGCAGGAUAAAGAGAAAGAGAUUCAAAGCCUCUUGAGAGUGCCUGAAAACAAGUGGCCCCCUUUAGAAAGAACAAUUUGCGAACUGGAAGACUUUGUUCAGAAAUUUGUGAUGGAGAACGAAGCUUCUGCACCAUUCAGAGUGGCAAAUCAGAGUGGCUCCGAUGUAAUCCGGAAUGCAUCAGGGGGAUUGGCCCUAAGAGGGAUUUUCUUAAGCAAGGAUCCUCAGGUGCUGUCUAAAGAACGAAAAAAGGUUCUGGAAGUACCCGAGAAUGUGGAACUCACCAGCGCAAGCAAGCCUCCGCAGGACUUGAUAGUUAACUUUGAGAGUCUCGAGGAGGAGCAAAAUUUCCAGCAGUGCGUACACAGAACGGGACUCAACAUUUCUGGAGGAAUCUCAGCCACUGUGUGGGGCCAUGCGGUUAAAAUCAAAGCAGAACAUGACUCAUCACAGCACUCAGAUGAAAGUAUGUCAUCAAGAGGAGAAACAGAAUAUGCCUCCGUCACAAAGUACUCAUCAGUCCCGAUGGCGAGCUGUGAUUUACACCCCAGGUGUCUCAGAUUAUCUCCGUUGGCACUGGACAGUCUCAAGCAGCUUCAGAAUACCCUGAGGUAUGAAUGUUCCGAUGAAAGCAAACACCGCCGAUGUGCAGACUUUCUUUAUUCCUAUGGGUCACAUGUAAACUGCGGUACUAUUGUCUUUGGGGGUAUUUUUGAAAUGAAAGCAGAGACAUCCAAGUACAAAAGGAGUGAGAAGAGCAACAUCUUUCAAAUGUUGAGCGAUGUGUUGCGAAUGUCUGCGAGUGUGACUGGAAUAGUGACAUUCAAAACGGACUUUACAGCAACGUCUUCAUCUUGUACUCAAGGUAACAGCUAUGCUUCAGAGCAACAGAAAAAGACCACAGUGUCAAUUCAAAAAUUGGGUGGUCUUUCGACAGCAUCAGACCAAACUGAGUGGAAGAAAAGUUUGCUAUCGCAACCAGAAACAUGGCAUGUGAUUGACAGGGGUUCCCUUGAUGAAUUACUACCAGUUUGGGAAAUACUGCAAAAUCAUGUAAAUGACCUUGAGGACAGUGAACUGCUUGCUCAGAACUUGAGGAAGUGCUGGGAAAAGGAGACAAAUCUUUUAAACCAGUAUCCAGAUGACAACCUGGUAUAUCCCUUAAAGGAAAUUGAGAAGAAAAUAGCAAGUAUCCAAAUCUGGAACAGCCAAUCACAGGACACAUUUCUCAAAAACUGUGAGAAAUAUGUGAGUGAAUGCCAACAUCUGAAAUUAUCCCUCAUGUGCCCAAAAUUAAUGUGGUAUGAAAAAUUUAUCUGUAACACAGAGGUACAGCGCUUUAUCGAAAGUGCUACACAAUGCAUUGAUCAGUGUGAAAAUAAAACAUAUCUCACAAUGAUGACAUCCAGUUUACUUGAACCUGUUAAACUUAUUCAAGUCAAUAAAUUCCCAACCAUUGCUCAAAUUCUUUGCAAACUCGAUGCCUGUGAAGAAGAGGUGAAACUUGCGUGCAUCACAUUGGAAGGUGCAAUGGAAAGUGUGAGGAAGACAAAGAUUGACUUUCUGAAGCUUGGACCUGAGGACACUGAAAGAGCUCGGCAACUAUGCUUACAUCUGUACAGGACAAUUGGUGCACUACAGCGAAACCUCAAAGAAAAAGAGAAGUAUGCUGAUGCUUUGGUGACUGGGAUUCUCAUUCUACCAUUUAAUGGACCGCAAGAGAACUCAAAAUAUUCGCUGACUAAAAAAGACCUGGAGUCUCUCCUCUGUCAAAUGGAAAAGAUCGAGAGUAUCUUGGAAAUCCUGUACAAUUUGAAUGACACACAACGUCAAGCCUUUCUGAUUUAUGAGACUUUGAAAGGUUUCAGGGAAACUGGUUGGGCAGAGAAAGACUGCACCACUGGAGUCAAAAUCAUAUGCAAUAAGUUAGGAAAAGAGAUCUCUCCAAAAAUUAAGAGGGUGGUUCUUACUGAACAUGGCAAUGUCAAACAUGACCUUGAAUCCCUUGAAGAAGAACUGUUUUUCUUGUACAAAAAUGAGCUUCCUAUUGGUACCAGAAAAGCAACUGAACAAAAACAAGAACUUGUACAGUUCUUAAAUUCCUUGGAUCAGGCAAAGUGUACAGGUGCUGAAUGUCAGUCCAGUAAAGGGAACAGUGACCCUGCAAUACCAGAACUACUGCAACAGCUUGGAAUGAAUAAAUACUACCCUGGAAAACUUUCACUUUGUGACGUAUUGGAUCUCAGAACAGAUUCUCUUAUGGAUCAAUUAGGAACUGAAACUAACAGUAUCAUCUGGAGCUUUGUUCAAAAACUGCUAAUGGCUAAUUCAAUGGCACGUAAAGCAGAAAUGCCCCCAGGAAAAGAUGUUAAUACAGAGACUGAGCUGAGACAGGCUGAAGAAUCAGAGCUUCUGGAUGUUGAUGAAUUAUUUAAGAAUGAAGAACAGUGCACAGACAUCUCCUUUCACCCUCUUGACAUCACUGUCAUUACACUUCUCUGCUCAGACCAAUUGUUGCAGCAAGAGAUUAUGUCUAAAAUGGCAAUGUGCCAGUUUGCGGUCCCACUUCUGUUGCCAAAAACCUUUAGACAAAAAGUUUCUUUCCUUCUGUGGGCACUGCGAAGCAUUGUUAAAAAAUGGACACCACAAUCACUAAUUCCAAGAAAAGGAUUCAUUGAGGAUAAUAUGGUUGCCAUCAAAAUGCCAACAGUGUCAUUUGUACGUCUUGGGAACUGUAAAGAAUCAAAGUCAAAGAUCCUCAAUGAGGUUCUGAGCGAUGGUCAUCUUAGUUUCUUUGUUAAUCGACAUAUGGAGCAAGGUGACAUAAAAAGAAAAAUGUCAGAUGGAGUGGCAGAAAUUUGCUGGUACCUUCCCAGUGGCAAUACUACAUUGGAUGCAUUCUCUGAGGCAUUUUCUGUGAUCAACCUUCGUGGCGAUGCUUUCCAGUAUAGUACCCAACUAUGCGUUUUAGCAGAAGUAUCUUCAGCCAUAUUCAUAUUUGUUGACAAAAUUGGUGAAGAGGAAAAAGAAUUCAUCACAUCACACUCAAGCUCUUCAAGAUCCAAGCUCUUUCUUGUAAUGAACAUCUCAAAGAGUGAUAGACCCGAAACAUCAAAGAAUCUGAAAAGUCUGAUUGAACUGUUACAACUGAAGAAGGAUCAAUUUGUUCAGUUUGGAAAAUCAAGCACAGACAUCUUAAAGCACCUCCGUGAAAGAGUUACUAAUGAAGUGAUGCAGUCAAUGAAAACACAGGAAACACUUUUUAGCUUAGAAGAAAUGGCUGAUGUUGCUAGAAAGCAUGGAAUUUUUGUAGAUGAAGAUGAAGACCACUUAAAGAAGGUCAAAGCAACUGUGAAAGAAAUGAUGGAAAUAUUUGAUGAGCAAAGUGUAACAGAUUUCAAGAAAGAUAAUCUGCAUUAUCAGGGAGAGCAGUGGAAAACAUGGUCUAAGGUUGACAAGGAACAGUCUCGCUUGAAACAUCGUGGAGCAGAACCAUUUGGCCAAUACAUUGAUGACUUAGAAGUAAAAAAGAAAAGACUUAGAGAAAAACAACUUGGAUCUAAAGUCUCACCAUUUAUGACUAAGUUCAUUGAGCAGAUACACAGCCAAGACGAUUCCAAAAUGUUCUUCAUACAGUGGCUGAAACUUGAAAUUGACUCCAGGUCAAGGAAAAAUCUGAAAAAGUUGCACAGUGAUUAUAUGAAUCUCUGUGACAAUGCUAAACUAUCCAGCAAGGACGACACACUGAAAAACAUUGACAAGAAGAUCUCAGAAAGCUCAUUAGGGCUAGAGCACUUGCUGCGUGAAGUCGGCCAAAUUUAUGAAGCAACAACAAGUUGCAGCACACCGCAAGAGCGAAGCCACUAUCAACAAUUGCCACGGCAAGCAGCUCAGCUGUUGUUGGGUGGAGUGCCUUUGGAACUGAUUGAUGGCGAUGCCUCUAACAUUCCUCUGCAGUGGAUCGCAAAUGUCCUUGAGGAAAUUGUCAGCAUUGUUGGCAGAGAAAGCCGAAUGUUGGUUGUGACGGUUUUGGGUAUACAAAGUACUGGAAAAUCCACCCUUUUAAACACCAUGUUUGGCCUGCAAUUUGCAGUAAGCAGUGGCCGCUGCACACGUGGGGCAUUCAUGCAGCUCCUUGGGGUCAAAGGUGACUUAAAGAAAAAACUGAGGUGUGACUUUGUGAUGGUGAUUGACACAGAAGGCCUAAAAGCACAAGAACUGGCCCAGCUGGAUGACAGCUAUGAGCAUGAUAACGAACUGGCAACUUUGGUAACUGGCCUGAGCGACCUGACCUUGGUGAACGUGUCCACAGAAAACUCCACAGAUAUGAAAGAUGUGUUGCAAAUUGUUGUUCAUGCCUUCAUUCGCAUGAAAGAAGUUGGGAAACGACCGAAUUGUCAGUUCAUUCAUCAGAAUUCGGGAGAUAUUGCAGCUCAUGAGAAGAAUGUCAGGGACAGAAUGUACUUCCUUGAUCAACUCAAUGAAAUGACAAAAGUUGCAGCAAGGAUGGAGGAAAGAGAAAGGGACUACUCUUCGUUUGGGGAUGUGAUGGAAUAUGACUCGUCGAAAAGUAAUUGGUACAUUGGUAGCCUUUGGCAUGGGAAUCCACCCAUGGCAGCAGUGAGCACUGGCUACUCCAAGAACAUCCUUGACCUAAAAAAGCACAUCUUUGACUGCCUUGAACAGCGCCAGCAAAACCCUGGCACCAUCCACGACUUUGGUGAGUGGCUGAAAAACAUCUGGGCAGCAGUGAAAAAGGAGAACUUCUUAUUCAGUUUCAAGAAUUCUUUGGUUGCUGAGGCCUACAAUCAACUUUCUCUCCAAUACUGUGACUGGGAAUGGGAGCUAAGGGAAUUUGCAAUGUCAUGGACUCAGGAGUCUGAGAACAAAAUAAAAAACUCAUCACAAACCAACCUCUGUAACUUGGUUUCAGAUCUUGAAUGUGACUUAAAUGCAAAGGUCAACGAAAAGAUUGCUUCCUGCAUAGAGAAACUCAAUGGUUAUUUCAGUAGUGGAAAAGAUAAUGUUCACUUGGUUGAGGGAUACAAGGCAGAGUUUCAUCUUGGCUUACAGGCAUUGAGCAAGGAGCUAAGGAAUAGCCCAAUAAGCAAAUGUACUGAUACUGUUUCAAGACAGAAAGGGUUGCAAAAAUUGACCCAAAUUCAAAGAGGUUAUCAACAGCAGAUUGAGACUGAAGUGAAUAGCCUCUUAAUGUCCUGUAAAAAACAGAAAAGGGCAUUGGAAGAAAAUGAGCUGGAACAUGCAUUUGAAGACAUGUGGCGUAAGGUCACAUCCACAUUUCCAAAUUCAUCCUCUGAGAGGAGGAAUAUUGCUUGUGACAUGCAGAAUGCUCUCUUCAAGACCUUGCAGGCACACUCACACUUAAUUCUAGAAAACCUGAACCUGAUCAAGGAGGACCAUCUAAGUACAUUCAGUCUGAAACACAUCCACGUGCACUUCAAAUCAUACUGGAAGGGAAAAGCACCAGAAAAAGUUAAAAACUAUUUAAAUGUCAUGGACUUGCCAGAACAAACACAGAAAAUAUUUGUCUACAACAUCCAAAAGAUUAUUGGAGACAAAGUAAAAGAAAACAUAAAUUAUGACCAAAACUUCUGCCUGGAAAUACUGAGAGAAAUCGAUUUGCUUUUAAAAAAUCAUGAAAAUGAUUCUUUCAAAUUCACAGACAAUUUCAGGACAGAUUUCAAACUGCAUGUCAGUGGGCAUGCAGUGAAACAAUUUGAGGAAAUGCAGGACAGGUUUUACAAAGAGAAUGACCUUGUGGAGAAACUAGGAAGACAGAAAGGGACAUAUCUUGAAAUUUUCAUAGACACCUACUGCACACGGGACCAGACCCACAAAAAAGCAGAAAUGUUUUGUGAAGGUUCUUUGAAGCCGGCAAUGGUGGAGUGCGUUAAAUCAAAGCUUGGGGCAGCAUUGCUGGAAGACCUGAGGUGCAACAGGAAAUCCCUUGCACUUUCCACAAGUAAGUUCUUCCAUGCCUCUCUUUUAGCGAAUCUAAUGGAAGCUGAUGAUUUCACUGAGUACUACCGUUACAUCAAUCAUUACGAAGACUACGCAACUGAAUGGGUGAAAAAAUGUGUUUUAAAACAUUGUGUGGAUCAGACAGAUGAGGGGGAAACAAGAAUAGUGGGACUUGCCUGUCACAUUUUGAAACAAUUAUCAUACACAGCUAAGGAAGUGAUCAAAGAUGCAGCGACUUGCACCAAUUCAAAUAAGAUUUCUGACUUUAUCAAAGCAUUUGUGAAUAAAAUGGACAGGGACCUUGUGAUCCCCGCUGACAAUCUGGAUCUAAUUGCUUUCCAAAGUGAUGGGAACCUGAAAGAUUUUGCAGAUGCAGUUCUCACUGGUGUUAAUGAUCUUGAGAAGGCCAUUGAAGAGGAAAUUGGCAAAUGGGAUGUGGAAAAAUCCAUCAGUGAACUUCCCACCAAACCCACAGAGGAGCUCAUCAAGUCUUUGCUCAACUGCAAGAAGCAGUGCCCUUUUUGUGGAGUACCAUGUGAACGAGCGGGCCUGAACCACUCAGAUCAUUUCUCUGAAUAUCACAUCCCUGAUGGCUUGUCUGGUUAUUCGGACAUUAUAUCAGGGAAGCUGUCCGCGAACGUUUGCACUGUUUCUGUGUCAUCCGGGGAGACCUUCAAGAAUGAAGACACAGACUACAAGUAUGUGGCAUACAAAAACUACAAAUCUGUGAACAGCUUCUACAAGUCCUGGCAGAUUCAGCUUGAUUCCAGCUACAAAGCAACAUCCUAUUGGAAGUCUGUGUUUUACAGAUUUAACAAGGACUUCGCAAAGAAAUAUGGUGCAGAGCCAGCUGAUAUUCCUGAAGGAUGGAAUAUCAGCGAGGGGCAAGUGAGGAAAGAUUUGGAGGAAACUUACCAAGUCAGUCUGAAUUCCAUUGUAUAACAGGGAGAAUGGUUGCAAGUCAAGUGUUUUUUCCUUCAUGUUUCAUGUAUGUAUGUACACAUGCAUAUGCACAGAUGAUCAAAGAGGUUUCAUGAUUGAGUAAUUACAUUUUAAUAAUGAGUAUAUUAACAAACUGUAUUGUUUUCUGACACUUAGUAUUUACCUACAGCCAAUCAAGCUGUAAUCACAAAUUUUUUUAAAUGUAUAUUUGUGUCUUACAUGCUCUAUUUUAUUUCUCUAUUUUAUGAUUAAUAUUUCAGUAUUUUGAAUCUUGACAUGAACGUGAUGUAAUAUGAUUAUAUACUCAAAGCAAUCAACACAACACCAGUGUAUGGUAAUGCACUUUGAAACUGUAAUUGAAAUACAGAAACUGUGCUAAUAUUAUGCACUGUUUGCACUGCAGGGAUCUUGAGAGAAUCACAUGGGGAAAACCAAAUUUGAUACAAAUCUCUUUGACUUCACUGCCAUUUUGCAGAUGUUCUUCCUCGUAGCAAUUUAAAACACAAACAAAAGUGCAAAGAUUAGGAAAUGCAGUGAUACAAAGAGCAGUAAUUCUCUAUAGGGGAAAAAAUUCAGUUCCAAAGAAUACAGCAAAUGCAACAAGUGCACUCUGUAGCAUGCCAUAUUAAACAUGAAACUGAAGUUACUGUGAAGUGGAAAACUACCCUAAUGUGCAUAAAGCUGUAUUAAAUAUACAGUACUGGUGUUUAACUGUGUAUCAGGAUUAGGGGAACUUUAUUGCAGUGCAAAAUUGGAGUUGGGUAUCAGCUGAUUCGUAGCAGAUCUGCUAAUCCAGAAUGAUGUUUUAGUGGUUGGUAACUGCAACUACAACUGCACUCUCUUAUUAAAAUGUAUUGUGGAUAUCGAUGCGAUAUCAAAAACAACACAGGGAAUGAUGCUGUGAGCAGCUGUGGGUUCUAUAGCACUCAAGAUAAAAUCCACAAUAAUGACAUCACAAGUCACUCUAUGUGCUAAAUGUUCCAGCUACCAAGGUACCAAACUUUCUCGAUCUACCCAAGUACAAUUGUGAUUCAGAAACAACAUGAAGCAGUUGUUUGUAUGGCCAUUUAAUGAUCAUUUUCAUUAGAUGGGGGCAGGGGUUGGGAAUUAGCUUUUGACAAUGAACACUUAAUACAGCGUAUCUGAUACUUGGUUUUAACGUUGCAACAAUGUUUUUCAAUGUUCUUAACUAAUAAACACUGGCUUACUAGUGUAACCUCAA